rnacentral:rRNA from 1 species
UGAAUUGACGGGGCCCGCACAGCGGUGGAGCAUGUGGUUCAAUUCGACGCAACGCGAAGAACCUUACCCAGGCUUGAACAGCGAGUGACCACUUCCGAAAGGAAGCUUCCGCAAGGACACUCGUAGAGGUGCUGCAUGGCUGUCGUCAGCUCGUGUCGUGAGAUGUUGGGUUAAGUCCCGCAACGAGCGCAACCCUUGUCUUCUGUUGCCAUCAGGUUAUGCUGGGCACUCUGAAGAGACUGCCGGUGAUAAACCGGAGGAAGGUGGGGAUGACGUCAAGUCAGCAUGGCCUUUAUGUCUGGGGCUACACACGUGCUACAAUGGCAGAUACAAACCGUCGCGAUACCGCGAGGUGGAGCUAAUCGGAGAAAGUCUGUCUCAGUUCGGAUAGCAGGCUGCAACUCGCCUGCUUGAAGUUGGAAUCGCUAGUAAUCGCGGAUCAGCACGCCGCGGUGAAUACGUUCCCGGGCCUU